GUCCAAGAAAGACUGUCCAAGAAAGACUGUCAAGUCUUUUGAUAAUAUAUUAAUAAACAUAAGAAACAGAAACUUAAUGAGCUUUUAAAGUAUUCUUACUAACACAAAACUAAAAUAAAUGAAACUCUCUGUGAAAGAGUAUCCCAAAAAAAUUCAAGAUCCAGCAUCACUGCCCCAAAUACCAGGGACAAGGGGAAGAACAGCCUCACCUCAAAGCUCAGAGCUGCCAGAGAUUUAACUGAGAUGGGAGAAAAGGAUUCUGCAUUGGUGCCUAACUCUGAACUUCACAGAAAGCCCCAGCGAGUUCUCACAGCUCAGGGAGACGAAAUUGCAGCUCCAGGCCCAAAGGGUACAACCAGCAGGGAAUUGAUGGAGCAACCUGUGAGGGCUGCCCAUGACAUCAGCUCAGCUUUUCUGGCUGUUUGUGAUCAGCUUUCCUUCCCUCGGACACCUCAGCACAGGAAUUUCAGGCACAGCUUCAGAAAUGAGGCGACACAAAAGUUUGCAGCCUCCAGGAAUCCCAAAUUUUCCCUUUGAGCCUCCCUCAAAAUUUUGCCUUUGAGCUGCUUUUCCUCCCUCUCAAAGCCAGGAGAAAGGCCUGGGCUCCUUUCCAGAGCUGCCAAUAAUUAUCAUUAAUUAAUAAUUAAUUUCCUGGGUGGGGAGGAGGAGGGGGAAAUACCUCACAGAAUUCCAAAUAUCAAAAACUUCUUUUUACCUCUCGUUUCUCCUCUGCCUUCAUCGGUUCCCGUGACUCUUCCUCUUUUCCAGGGCCCUUCCCAGCUCCAGGAGGCUGCCCCAGGAUUGGGAUGAGUUUCAGCCAGGACAGCACCAGGAGUUCUGUGGGAUCCAAUCCUGUUUUUCCUGAUUUCCUGGGAAUGUUCACUCGGUUCCUCUCACGCAGGUGUCGGAGGGAAGAUGCUGCUGGAUGGCUCAGGGGAUCAGAGUGUGGUUUUGUUAGAACCUUGGCAGUGAUGAGGCAGCGCCGUGGAGCAUCUCUGUGGGUCGUGAAAAUGAUGGAAUUCAUUCCUGAGCUGAUCAACAACAACUGGGAAUCUCUGGAUCCGACUGCCAACAGUAAAAAAAGAGCUUUAAACAGGGGAUAGAAAAACCUGAUAGCAAAAAUACAAAGGAGUUUGUAAUGUU